ACGAAACUCAAAGUAAAUCCAAAAUUCCUGACAGGAAAUGUAACGGAUGGCUGAGUUGCACAAAAUUCAUGGAAUAUUCGAUUACAGAAGCAAAUUAAAACCACAAAUGGAAUUAUAAAUUCAACACAACACACCAGAGGACAGAGAGGAUACACACAGGACACAAAGGACCAAAAGACAGACCAUGUGGAAAAAACCAAGCAGCCCGCAGGACAACAAAAGUUAAGCCAGAAUAAAGGCCGAGAGCCAGGAGUAAAGGACAAACGAUGCAUGCAUGAGCGUAUUGGCCAGAAAGGACUUGACAACUUGUCAAUCGGAGGAGUGGAGUGGGUGGAGUGUAUGUGCUGUUCAGUAGCCAUAGAUUUAACGGGGGAUUGCAUUUUGAUGGAGACUGGAGAUACACUGAGGAAUUGCUUCUUGGUGGAAUGACGUCUACCUUGGAAGAACUGCUCCCUAAGAUCUAAUCUAUGUACUACCUUUAUCUACACUCUCUCUCUAAUGCGGAUAUCUCAUGCAUUGCAAUGCACCAUCAGGAAAUACCAAGUUCCAACUUUUUAUACCCGAAUUCCACGAAUAAAAGCAGUGUACCUCCCGCCCAACGUACCGAGGGGCGCUGCCGUAUGACUCGCGACAUGUUUCAUCGAAUUUAAGAUGGAUUUCCUUUCGAUAUGGUUUUCUCUUUUAGAUCCAAAGAUUCUUUGAUUCUUCAUUUACUCUACUUAAACGCGUACUCUGUUAGAAGAUCAAUCUAAAGCGAACAUCUUGUGGUCUAACGAAAACAGUGUCCAUAUUCCAUAAACUUGUUCUGAGAGACCUUUCCAGCUUUCUUUCCUUUCGGCAUCUAAGCUUUUUGGGGUCUUUCUCUCAGUGUAAAAUCCAGUAAGAGUUUUAGCCACAGUUCAUGGGGGAUUUGUUCCUGCUGUUCCUCCUGCUUCAUGGUCACGCAUAAAUGC